rnacentral:rRNA from 1 species
AAAACUUUCAACAACGGAUCUCUUGGUUCUCGCAUCGAUGAAGAACGCAGCGAAAUGCGAUAAGUAGUGUGAAUUGCAGAAUUCAGUGAAUCAUCGAAUCUUUGAACGCACAUUGCGCCUCCUGGUAUUCCGGGAGGCAUGCCUGUCCGCGCACAAA